CCGCCAGAAAACUACGAGCGAAAAGCUUAAAACUCAAAGGACUUGGCGGUGCUCCACACCCGACUUAGAGGAGCCUGUCCUAUAAUCGAUACUCCACGCUAAACCCAACCACUCAUUGCCCAAACAGCCUAUAUACCGCCGUCGCCAACUUACCCCAUAAGGGUCAACAGUAAGUACAAUAGCCAAUUAGCUAAAACGUCAGGUCAAGGUGUAGCUAAUAGAGUGGUAGAGAUGGGCUACAUUUUUU
rnacentral:rRNA from 1 species